rnacentral:tRNA from 2 species
GCCACCUUAGCUCAAUUGGUAGAGUACCGCACUUGUAAUGCGGUUGUUUAGGGUUCGAGUCCCUAAGGUGGCUCA